CUCUUGUCCUACUCAUUGUAGUGUUUUUCCUGCUUCAAGCCCACACAACCACCUUUAUCCCAUACAGAGCUUGAAAGCGGAAUCAGGUGUGUAAAGAGAAAGCAUUGCCCCUUUAUUUGUAAUAGCUUAAAGCAGCUAUCUGUAAUAUUCCUGAGUGGCCAGAUUGCAAAAUGUGAUACAUGGUAUCAGUAUGUUUCUGCUACUAUUUCUGCAAAGCCAAAUAUAUUCAUUUUUAAAAAGGUCCCGAUGCCUUUAUCUAGCUAAUGGUGCUGAAACAAGAGCUACUGCAAACAUGGAGAUAUAAGAACAGCAAACUCAGUCUUAAUCAGAUAAUUAACACGUUGAUCAACCAACAAAACACAUAAUUAGAACUGAUGAAAGCUGGUGGGCUAAAACAGCAUGCUUGGUGCAAUGAUACAUUUAUUGAUUGUCACUUUAAGUAAAAUACCUCCAAUAAUCUGUUACUGCACCCCACAAUUUGACACACUGUUAAAAUCUCAUGCAAUAACUUGCUAUUUGCAGCAGAGCACAUCACAACAACGUGGUAAAGCUUCUUGGGGAUCCGUGGAUGCAGGAUGGGAAGUGGCACAUUCCUCUGGAGUUCAUCUUUGGAGAAGAUCUGGAGACGACCAUUUUUAGUGCACAGAAGUCCAAGAUAUCGCUCACACCAAAGGUGAAGGCCACCAUCAUCACAGGAAUGUGUGAAGGCUUGUUCCAUCUGCACAGCAAAGACAUCGUCCACCAGGAUCUCAAGCCAGACAACAUCAUGGUUGAGCAUGAAACACACCGCGCUGUGAUCAUCGACAUGGGCCUCGCAAAAUUAUCAGUGAACGGCUUAUCCUCUGCCCAAAACAUGGGGAACGAGGCCUACUCUGCUCCUGAGAUCCUGCAGGCCAAUGGAAUCCGGGACAAGCGUUCGGACGCCUGGGCGAUGGGAAAAAUGGUUGCAGAGCUCAUUGCAAGAGUCAGACUGCCUACCACCUUUGUGUCCCCCGUCAAAAUCCAAGAGACACUGAAAGACAAUCCUUACUGCAGUGUUGUGUCCAAGAUGGUGGCUUCCAAUCCCAUAGAGAGAGCCUCAAUGGUCGGGGUGAUUUCUGAAAUCCGGCGAGCUGGAGUGAUUUACGGGGCAGACGUGACACCUAAACCUGGGGCGGGAACAGGAUGGGCUAACCCAGGUUUGGGAGCACAAGCAGUUGUCAAAGCAGCACCAGCUCCUGUUGCUGCAGGACCAAACCAGAGAAAUCGCCCACCAGCAUCAUUGGUACACAAAGAACCAGCAGCUGCAAUACCGCAGAUACGGACCCCGUAUCCUGUCAAAGCUGCCCCAGCUCCCGUUAACCCACCUCACAUUAACCGUAGCCCAUCUCCCAACAAUCGUAACCCAUAUCCCAUCCACCGUAGCCCAUCUCCCAACAAUCGUAACCCAUAUCCCAUCAACCGUAACCCACCUCCCAUCAACCGUAGUCCACCUCCCAAAGCAGACGCUCUAGUUCCAAUAACCAAUGCUGAAUUUGCUGCUAAGUUCUCACUGAUGUCCCUACCCCCUGACCUGCCACAAGAUGGAACUGUGAUCCAGCGUCGCUUCGACGGGGAUAUGCAGCAGCUGCAGUACAAAGAAAUAGUCAUGAAGGACGGAAAAGUCGUUAAGUAUGAUGACGUGAGAUAUAUGAAACCGUAGAAGAUCAAGAACUUUAUAAACAGGAUUCCACUUUUUGUGUUUUGGUAUCUAAGGUUUUGGUACCAAGACUGAAACCUUGAGUUUUGGAUUGAUUUUGCAAGCUUUAAAAUAAGCCAUCAGACUCUUCAAACACUCUACUGUCCUAAAAAUGUUUUAUUCAUUAUCAUUUACAAUGUAAAUGUGUAAAAAAAAUGUGACUGGGAUGGCUUCCACUACAUUCACAUGUAAUGGAUGAUGGAUAUACACCAGUGGUGGAUGGAUGGAUGAAUGGAUGGAUGGAUGUGGCCAUGAUUUUAACAUCACUUCCUUGUUUCUACACUCACUUUGUACUUUGGUUGUAGUUCUGUAUCCUUUUCUCGUUUCUAUACAUACUUUAUAAUUAUCCUCCUAAUUUCAUCCUGUUCUUCAAUGACCACAACUUCACAGGAGAGAAAAACAUUUGUUCUCAGCACUGCAGUGAUUAGCACUGAUUAGCAUGGUGAUGGUGUAUGCGGUGUUAGUAGAGUGUGUUGUGCUGCUGCUACAGUGAGUGAAUCAGAUACAGCAGUGCUGCUGGAGUUCUUAAACACAUCAGUGUCACUAUUGCACUAAGAAUAGUCAACCGACCAGAAGAAUACAGCCAACAGCUUCCUGUGGGCAAUGUCCCAGUGAACACGUUAUAAGAAAGUUUAGCAAUGUUUAAAAAAAAAUGGUUCCAGGAAUGUUAGCCUGUAGUAUUACAGAAAUUAUGUUCCAGGAACCUUCUGAAAAGGUGUGCCAUAAUUUGUUUGCAUCACAUUUGUUUGCCAUAAUGAUUUGUAUCAUCCCAUUAGAAUAUUUCUCACAUAAUCUUCACAGCUAGAUGAAUACUAACAUUACUAAAACUUAAAAUUAAAACUUUGACACAAGUGAAAUGUUCUAGUAACAUUGCUGCAAUUCUAAAAACUUGACAGAUUGAACAUUCUGAGGAUGUUAACUCUAAUUUACAGAAAACGUUCUACUAACCAAAAACUGUUAGCUA
ensembl:lncRNA